rnacentral:lncRNA from 1 species
UUCUCCUUCUUGUCCUCCUCCUCCUUCUUCACCUCCUCCUCCUUUCUCUCCUUUCUCUCCUUCUCCUCCUCCUUUUUCUCUUUAUUCUUCUUUGUCCUCCUCCUUCUCCUUAUUAAAUUUAACUCUUUUAACUCAUUUAACUCUUCAAACUCACCUGCAACACCCGUAGGAUCAAUUUUUUUUUACACCUAUGCACCCCUGGGUGGGAAGCACCGCCAGGUGCGGGUCACACUUUUGCCUCUCCAAACCUGCAUUCCUCAUUUGCAGCCCUAAUUACAGGAAGCCUAAUUGUUAUUUCUGUACCAGAAAGCCAGCUGCUUCUUUCGCAGAGAGCCUCAGCGGUUUUGGAGCUGCCCUAAGGUGCCUCUUCUAGACACAAAACUAGAGCAGGGAUGCUAACCUGACGGGAAAUCACUCCACCUGGCAAAUCGGAUCUUUAAAAACAGUUCCUAGCAACCUUUGGUACUCACCAUAUGCAAAUAAAGCUGAUGAACCAAACCCUGAGACA